AAUCUUCCGCAAUGGACGAAAGUCUGACGGAGCGAUGCCGCGUGAGUGAUGAAGGUCUUCGGAUCGUAAAACUCUGUUGCUAGGGAAGAACAAGUAUCGGAGUAAUAUGCCGGUACCUUUACGGUACCUAACCAGAAAGCCCCGGCUAACUACGUUCCCGCCGCCGCGGGAACACGCAGGGGGCAAGCGUUUUCCGGAAUUAUUGGGCGUAAAGGGCAAGCAGGGGGUUAUUUAAGUCUGAUGUGAAAUCUUGUGGCUUAACCACAAGCGGUCAUUGGAAACUGGAUAACUUGAGUACAGAAGAGGAGAGUGGAAUUCCACGUGUAGCGGUGAAAUGCGUAAAGAUGUGGAGGAACACCAGUGGCGAAGGCGGCUCUCUGGUCUGUAACUGACGCUGAGGUGCGAAAGCGUGGGUAGCGAACA
rnacentral:rRNA from 1 species